UACAGAGGUCUCAAGCGUUGUUCGGAUUCAUUGGGCGUAAAGGGGUGCGUAGGCGGCGCGGUAAGUCGGGUGUGAAAUCUUGGAGCUUAACUCCGAAACUGCAUUCGAUACUGCCGUGCUUGAGGACUGGAGAGGAGACUGGAAUUUACGGUGUAGCGGUGAAAUGCGUAGAUAUCGUAAGGAAGACCAGUGGCGAAGGCGGGUCUCUGGACAGUUCCUGACACUGAGACACGAAGGCCAGGGGAGCAAACGGG
rnacentral:rRNA from 1 species